AUUGAACGCUGGCGGCAGGCCUAACACAUGCAAGUCGAACGGUAACACGAAGCAGCUUGCUGCUUCGCUGACGAGUGGCGGACGGGUGAGUAAUGUCUGAGCAGCUGCCUGCUGUAGUGGGAUAACUACUGGCAACGGUAGCUAAUACCGCAUAAUGUCGCCUGCCCAAAGAGGGGGGCCUUCGGGCCUCUUGCCAUCGGAUGCGCCCAGAUGGGCUUAGCUUGUUGGUGGGGGUACGGCUCCCCAAGGCGACCAUCGCUAGCUGGUGGGAGAGAAUGGCAGGCGGCACUGGAACUGAGACACGGUCAAGAGUACUACGGGAGGCAGCAGAGGGGAAUAUUGGGCAGUAGGCGGAAGCAUGAUGCAGCGAGGGGACGUGUAUGGAAGAGGCCUUGGGGGUGGAAAGUACUUUCAGCGGGGAGGAAGGGAGUAAAGUUAAUACCAUGGCUCAUUGACGGUACCCGCAGAAGAAGCACCGGCUAACUCCGUG
rnacentral:rRNA from 1 species